UACGUAGGGUGCGAGCGUUAAUCGGAAUUACUGGGCGUAAAGCGUGCGCAGGCGGUUCGCCAAGUCAGGUGUGAAAUCCCCGGGCUCAACCUGGGAAUUGCGCUUGAAACUAGCGAGCUUGAGUGUGGCAGAGGGGGGUGGAAUUCCUGGUGUAGCGGUGAAAUGCGUAGAUAUCGGGAGGAACACCGAUGGCGAAGGCAGCCGCCUGGCCUGACACUGACGCUGAGGCGCGAAAGCCAGGGGAGCAAACGGG
rnacentral:rRNA from 1 species